rnacentral:rRNA from 1 species
UGUGCCCUACGGGGCGCAGCAGUGAGGAAUAUUGGUCAAUGGUCGGGAGACUGAAUCAGCCAAGCCGCGUGAGGGAGGAAGGUACAGAGUACCGUAAACCUCUUUUGUCAGGGAACAAAGACUGGGACGCGUCCCCGGAUGAGUGUACCUGAAGAAAAAGCAUCGGCUAACUCCGUGCCAGCAGCCGCGGUAAUACGGAGGAUGCGAGCGUUAUCCGGAUUUAUUGGGUUUAAAGGGUGCGCAGGCGGUCUGUUAAGUCAGCGGUCAAAGCCCGGGGCUCAACCCCGGCCCGCCGUUGAAACUGG